GACGAACCGUGCGAACGUUGUUCGGAAUCACUGGGCUUAAAGGGCGCGUAGGCGGGCUUAAAAGUCAGGGGUGAAAUCCCGCGGCUCAACCGUGGAAGUGCCUCUGAUACUGUAAGUCUCGAGGGAGGUAGGGGCGUGCGGAACUUCCGGUUGAGCGGUGAAAUGCGUAGAUAUCGGAAGGAACACCGGUGGCGAAAGCGGCGCGCUGGACCUCUUCUGACGCUGAGGCGCGAAAGCCAGGGGAGCAAACGGG
rnacentral:rRNA from 1 species